rnacentral:rRNA from 1 species
CCUACGGGCGGCUGCAGUGGGGAAUCUUGGACAAUGGGGGCAACCCUGAUCCAGCGAUGCCGCGUGAGUGAAGAAGGCCUUCGGGUCGUAAAGCUCUUUAGGUUGGGAGGAAGGCUAGUAUUUUAAGAGAUAACUAGUUUGACUGUACCGACAGAAUAAGCACCGGCAAACUCUGUGCCAGCAGCCGCGGUAAUACAGAGGGUGCUUACGUUAAUCGGAUUUACUGGGCGCAGUGAUUGGAGUGGCAUUUGAAAGCCCCGGGCUUAACCUGGGAAGAGCAUUGCAAACGAUAUGACUGGAGUAGUUGAGAGGGUGAUGGAAUUUCCGGUGUAGCGGUGAAAUGCGUAGAGAUCGGAAGGAACGUCAAUGGCGAAGGCAGUCACCUGGCAACAUACUGACGCUGAGGCACGAAAGCGUGGGUAGCGAACAGGAUUAGAUACCCUGGUAGUC